AAACCAUUUUUCGAGUCCGUGCACGUCAUCUCCUUGAAUCGCUCCCAUGCUUCAAAGAGAGAUUCCCCAUCCUUUUUUCCUAAAUCAGGUGAUUUGGUUUCUAAGUUA